UACGUAGGUGACAAGCGUUGUCCGGAUUUACUGGGCGUAAAGAGCGCGCAGGCGGUCGUUCAAGUCGAGUGUGAAAGCCCCCGGCUCAACUGGGGAGGGUCAUUCGAUACUGAUCGACUCGAAGGCAGGAGAGGGUAGUGGAAUUCCCGGUGUAGUGGUGAAAUGCGUAGAUAUCGUAAGGAAGACCAGUGGCGAAGGCGGGUCUCUGGACAGUUCCUGACGCUGAGGCACGAAGGCCAGGGGAGCAAACGGG
rnacentral:rRNA from 1 species